rnacentral:rRNA from 1 species
AUUGAACGCUGGCGGCAUGCCUUACACAUGCAAGUCGAACGGUAACAGGGAGCUUGCUCCGCUGACGAGUGGCGAACGGGUGAGUAAUGUAUCGGAACGUACCUUUUAGUGGGGGAUAACGUAGCGAAAGUUACGCUAAUACCGCAUAUUCUCUGAGGAGGAAAGCAGGGGACCUUCGGGCCUUGCGCUAAUAGAGCGGCUGAUAUCAAAUUAGCUAGUUGGUGAGGUAAAGGCUCACCAAGGCGACGAUCUGUAGCGGGUCUGAGAGGAUGAUCCGCCACACUGGAACUGAGACACGGUCCAGACUCCUACGGGAGGCAGCAGUGGGGAAUUUUGGACAAUGGGGGCAACCCUGAUCCAGCCAUGCCGCGUGAGUGAAGAAGGCCUUCGGGUUGUAAAGCUCUUUCGGCCGGGAAAAAAUCGCAUGGGUUAAUACCCUGUGUGGAUGAUGGUACCGGAAUAAGAAGCACCGGCUAACUACGUGCCAGCCGCCGCGGUAAAAC